AGUGGCGGACGGGUGAGUAACACGUGGGUACCUACCUUGAGGUGAGGAAUACCGGCGAGAAAUCGCCGACAAAACCGCAUCCGCUUGGGCCACCAAGCAAAGUCGUAAGACGCCACAAGAUGGGCCUGCGCCCGAUUAGCUAGUUGGUGGGGUAAGAGCUUACCAAGGCGACGAUCGGUAGCUGGUCUGAGAGGAUGAUCAGCCACACUGGGAUUGAGAACGGCCCAG
rnacentral:rRNA from 1 species